AUACACACUCAGUGGCUCAGCGAUACUUAUGUAAUGCGGUCAGCUGUUGUUUUCGGGAAUUUUACAACGGCUUCGAUUGUGGCUCAACCAAUCAGAAUCAAGGGCCGGAACUAUCUGUUUUUAUAAAAUAUUUUUUACUUGAAUAAAACUAGUUAAUUUAGAUUUUUAGGUUACUAUUUUUUAUCAGUGUAUGCUUAACAUAAUUUGCCUGUUGUGCUAAUAUGACAUGUUUGAUAAACUCAGCUUUCUUAUAAAAGAAUUUGGUUUUGCAUUGUACCACUGCACUGUUUCUGGCUUCACCUUUCUUUUCUUUUAUAAAUUUUCAUUUCUUUGCUGUCAACAUGACUCGCUCACCACGUGAACUUCUCGCAUCUGUUCAGUUUCAGAACGUUCAGCAGAGCAGAAGAUCAGACUAUUUUUGGAGAGGGUGAAGAGGAUCACAGAUUGAAAUAUUAAACUACUUGCACGAGUUGUGGAUUUUUUUUUCUGAUAUAAAACUGUUUAAUAAUUAUACUGCAGUAUACUACCCCUUUUUUGGCUGCCUGAAGAUUCUUUAAAAAGGAUCCUUUUGUGGCAUAUGAAAAAACAACAGUGGAACAAAGCAUCCGCCGCUCCGCCACUAAGACGUGUGGCAGGAAGCAAGUCUAUAAAUAGGCCCUUGCUGUAUGCGUCUGAAUAAAAAUAACCUCCAAACUUAAAGUGAAGAGCCACGCCAUGUCCCCGGGGACCCCGCAGCACAUUGUGAUGUACCACGUAGAGUGUCACCAUUCAUCUUCACCGGCCGGACAAAAUCUAUUUCUCCAGAUUGUCCUUCCUGUGAAGCUCAAAUGCAAAGCAUAGUAAAUCACAGGUCCUCUGGUAUUCUGCAAAGAGCUCAAAAUCCAAUGGUCAGGGAGCAAUUAAUCUUUCACGCUGGGCUAGCCUUGCAAUAAGACUGAGUAUCUGAGGGGUCCAGAUCAUUAGGGACACCAUAAAUGGCUGGCUGAAGCUUAAGAGGUGAGAACCACUGCACUACAUCAAUGUGUUCCACCACACCAUGAUUGUUCUAUAUUCUCCUUCUGUAAUGAUGAAGCCCAUUGUUGCACAAGCACUGACCCUGAUGACUGCUGUGGAAAACAAUUACAUCCCCCCCACCUCCUGAGGAGUCACACAGCAAUUAUAAUAAUCCUAUAUGCAAUCACCACAGUAUCCGUG